GACGUAGGGGGCAAGCGUUGUUCGGAAUUAUUGGGCGUAAAGCGCUCGUAGGCGGGACAGGAAGUUCGUGUUGAAAGACCUCGGCUCAACUGAGGGACCGGCUCGAAUACUCUUGUUCUUGAGGCAAUCAGAGGGUGAUGGAAUUCCGGUGUAGCGGUGAAAUGCGUAGAUAUCGGAGGAACACCAGUGGCGAAGGCGAUCACCUGGGGUUGUUCUGACGCUGAGGAGCGAAAGCUAGGGGAGCAAACUGGG
rnacentral:rRNA from 1 species